rnacentral:rRNA from 1 species
UACGAGGGUGCAAGCGUUGCUCGGAAUUAUUGGGCGUAAAGGGCAAGUAGGUGGUCUCAUUGUCUGGGGUGAAGCCUUGAGCUUAACUCAAGAAGUGCCCGGAAACGGUGAGACUCGAAGUAUUGGAGAGGGUCGUGGAAUUCCCGGUGUAGCGGUGAAAUGACGUAGAGAUCGGGAGGAACACCAGGAGGCGAAGGCGGCGACCUGGACAAUUACUGACACUCAACGUGCGAAAGCGUGGGGAGCAAACAGG